GCUACAACGGCUUCCUGGCGUAGUUUGAAAAUUAAUUGGAGCA
rnacentral:ncRNA from 1 species